ensembl:miRNA
GGCCAGUGCCAGGGGGUCAGGCUCACGGACCAGCCCAAAGGCCAGGCCUGACCCUUGAGCCUGACCCCUAGCACGGAUCCC